AGCCGUGUGUAGGUACACUAUACGAGUUGAUUAAAAAACGCCGAGACGCUUGGAAUUGUAAUAAUAAUUGAUUAACUGAUGGACCAUGGUUUGCGUUCAAUUUAUAGUUGAAAAACCUUAAAAUGUGUUAUCAAUGUUGUUGUUAAACUGCUUGUUUAGACAAAUUAACGUUGUAGGAUGUAAAUUGAAGUGUUUGUGUAAAAAUCUGUAUAUUAGUGUUUUAACACAACUUCUUUUUUGAGGACGAUGAACUACAGAAUAUUUCUAUUGUGCUUCAUUUCAAAUUUGUUACAUGGUCUGAAGUGUAACGAACUCUGCGUCCAGUGUCAUGGAACAUCGUGCCUAAAUGCCACGUCGUCUCUUCAGGGUACCCAUGCAGCAGGUAAAGCGGAAGACGAGAACUACGAGUCCGUAAUUUCAGACGAUCCACUACCACUAGAGAACGUCGAAGAGGCUGACGAAGUGCAAUCCGCAGAAGAGAAUGAUUACGUUGACAUGUAAAUGAAUGUGUGAAUAUUUUGAUAUGAAAAUACUGUUUUUACGUGAAUAAAUGGCACAUAGAAAUA